rnacentral:misc_RNA from 1 species
GAUGAAGAACGUAGCGAAAUGCGAUAAGUAAUGUGAAUUGCAGAAUUCAGUGAAUCAUCGAAUCUUUGAACGCACCUUGCGCUCCUUGGCAUUCCGAGGAGCAUGCCUGUUUGAGUGUCAUUAAAUUCUCAAGACCUGUCUGCUUUUUUGAUAGGUAUUGGAUUUUGGGGGUUGCAGGCUGUUUCAAAUAAAUAGCCUUGCUCUCCUUGAAUGUAUUAGUGGAGAAAAGCCAUUGAACUCCAUUGGUGUGAUAAAACCUAUCAAUGCCAGGAGCAAUAUCACUACUUCUCUCUGCUGUCUAACUGUGACUGUCUGUAUUAAUUAGUAUGGAUGGGAACAACUUGACCAACUUGACCUCAAAUCAGGUAGGACUACCCGCUGAACUUAAGCAUAUCAAUAAGCGGAGGA